ensembl:snRNA U2 U2 spliceosomal RNA
AAAUAUUUUCAAAAAAAAAAAAAAAAAAAAUCUGUUCUUAUCAGUUUAAUAUCUGAUACGUCCCCUACCCGGGGACCAUAUAUUAAAUUGAUUUUUGGAACUGGGAGAUGGAAAAGGGGCUUGCCCCGUCCACUCCACGCAUCGACCUGGUAUUGCAGUACCUCCAGGACCGGUGCACCCCUC